CUCCUGCUGCUGCCGCAUUGCCGGAGCACAAUUUCUGUUCUCAUCCUGAAGCAAAGUUCUUAACCCAAGGUACUAUUUCUGGGUUAGCGGAGUCUGUAACCUGAAACAUAUGUAACCUGAAGCAUAUGUAACCCGAGGUUGCACUGUAUUUCCAUUCUACAUAUGGGACAUGGGGAGAAGGGCUACUCAGUAUAAUCCAAUUUCCUGCUUGCAUGUUGAUGUUUACCAGGAGUAGGAUGCCCCUAGAUAGAGCUGUUGCUACUAUUGUGUUGUGAAAUACAAGAAUAUUGCACAGGGGAAAAAACGUAGUGUUGAUUGGGAGACUUGCAUCAUAAAAUUCAAAGAAGUGAAACUUUCAAAGGAUAACUUUGAAAGUUUUCCUCGCCGUAUUAUUUCAGGAAGGGUGACAAGCAGGCUUGCAGUGAUAUGUGAACCAAGCCAAAUUUCUCCCCCACCCUUAGUUGUAAUCCACUUCUGCUGUUUCAUCAAAAGAACCUUGGGCAUUUUAGGCUGAUUAAGAGAGCUUAUAUAUUUAUGUUAAGUGAUCGCUGGGACCUUUACAGGACCACAGUCAUCAAGAUUUAAGUGUGAUGUGGAAUUGCCCUGAGUAUUCCACACACUGCGUUCAAACUUCUCUUCCUCUUGGCCAUGCCCUCUGUCUUUCUCUCUCCCCAAUUCUCUAGACGCCUUGGGGAAAUUCCCUAGACAUAUCAGAAUUCCACCCAGAAACCAUAAGACCUCAGGAACACAACAUUCAAAUUAAUCCCCUACCAGUGAAAAGGACACAUGGCAUUGAAAGCCGAAAGUCAGGCCAAAAACCUAAUCAGGUAGUGAUAUGGAAGUUGUCUACUUCAAGUAUGAACUGGUAAGAAAGGAAAUUGAUAUAUUAUUUAAAAAUGGAAUACUCCAUCCCUCAUCAUAUAAGGAACCUUGGCAGCUGUGACCAUUUCUGAUUAAGGCAGCGAGUUUUUGCAUCUCCUUCUUUGCCUGAAGAAUAAAUACCUAAAAGUGGUGAAGACAUAUUACUUGUAUUAAUACAAUAGUAAUAUUAAUACAUAUUACUGGUUGCAGAUGUAGGUUAGUAUUGACAUUAUGGUUUAUAAAUGCAUGUUGGCUAGCCAUAUUACACCACAACUGUGCCCCAUUUCCACAUGUAAAGCACAGCACCUCCUAACACAUCCCCAUAAUCAAGUACCCUGUCGUAACAAUGGAAUGGCAAAGCUUAGUACCAAGCAAUCUCUGCUGAUUAAUCAUCCUGCUUUACCCAAAUCUUUACCUAUUUUCUGUUUGUCCAAAAUUGCAUAGGUUUGGUUGUAGAAAACUGCAGAAACUUGAUUUUUAAAAGUUUGUAUAAUUUAAUAAAGUCAUAGAUAGAUAGAUAGAUAGAUAGAUGAUAGAUAGAUAGAUAGAUAGAUGAUAGAU